AAAGUAAGAUUAAUACCUCAUGGUUUAUGUUUGCCGCAUGGCGGAUAUAAUAAAGAUUUAUCGGUAUAUGAUGGGGAUGCGUCCCAUUAGAUAGUCGGCGGGGUAACGGCCCACCGAGUCGACGAUGGGUAGGGGUUCUGAGAGGAAGGGCCCCCACAUUGGAACUGAGACACGGUCCAAACUCCUACGGGAGGCAGCAGUGAGGAAUAUUGGUCAAUGGACGAGAGUCUGAACCAGCCAAGUAGCGUGCAGGAAGACGGCCCUAUGGGUUGUAAACUGCUUUAGUAUGGGAAUAAAGUCAUCCACGCGUGGAUGUUUGCAUGUACCAUAAGAAUAAGGACCGGCUAAUUCCGUGCCAGCAGCCGCGGUAAUACGGAAGGUCCGGGCGUUAUCCGGAUUUAUUGGGUUUAAAGGGAGCGUAGGCGGAUUUUUAAGUCAGUUGUGAAAGUUCACGGCCCAACCGUGAAAUUGCAGUUGAAACUGAAAGUCUUGAGUGCACGCAGGGAUGCUGGAAUUCGUGGUGUAGCGGUGAAAUGCUUAGAUAUCACGAAGAACUCCGAUCGCGAAGGCAUGUGUCCGGAGUGCAACUGACGCUGAGGCUCGAAAGUGUGGGUAUCAAACAGGAUUAGAUACCCUGGUAGUCCACACGGUAAACGAUGGAUACUCGCUGUUGGCGAUAUACUGUCAGCGGCCAAGCGAAAGCAUUAAGUAUCCCACCUGGGGAGUACGCCGGCAACGGUGAAACUCAAAGGAAUUGACGGGGGCCCGCACAAGCGGAGGAACAUGUGGUUUAAUUCGAUGAUACGCGAGGAACCUUACCCGGGCUUGAACUCAUCAGGGCGACGCAAGAGAUUGCGUUUUCCUUCGGGACUUGAUGAGAGGUGCUGCAUGGUUGUCGUCAGCUCGUGCCGUGAGGUGU
rnacentral:rRNA from 1 species